CGGGCGGUAUCUGAAAAGAGCUGCACUGUGCUAAACCUCAUGCCAGCAUCGGCAUGGAAUUGCAAGAAAGUUUUGUUGGAAGUACAAGUAGUCUGCUCUGAGCCGAAAGGACCGAGACAGAAGG
rfam:Paenibacillus sp. Leaf72 contig_1, whole genome shotgun sequence.